CACGUAGGGUGCGAGCGUUGUCCGGAAUUAUUGGGCGUAAAGAGCUCGUAGGCGGUGUGUCGCGUCGGCCGUGAAAACCUGCAGCUUAACUGUGGGCGUGCGGUCGAUACGGGCAUCACUGGAGUUCGGUAGGGGACCACGGAAUUCCUGGUGUAGCGGUGAAAUGCGCAGAUAUCAGGAGGAACACCAGUGGCGAAGGCGGUGGUCUGGGCCGGAACUGACGCUGAGGAGCGAAAGCGUGGGUAGCAAACAGG
rnacentral:rRNA from 1 species